UCCCUACCUAUCACGGCCACUCCAUCUGGCUGAACUCAGGAUACUUCCGACUAUUUUCCUGAAAUACCUCCUUCGGCUGCUAUACCGUCGAGCCUCUUUCAUCUCUGUGCCACCAGGGAUGCACUACUGCAGUACUCCAGUGCUCCCUGCCUCAGCCUCUACGCCGCCCUUCUGAGAUAUUUUCGAGCCCCUUGUCGAGACCCCUACUGAUACCCCUCUCGGUCUCAGCAGGAGAUAGAGAG
rnacentral:lncRNA from 1 species